UUGGUCAUUUCAGCCCAAUAUGCCGUCAAAUACCUUGCAUAAUUUACUUUGUCACAGGCAAAAAACCAGGGCAGCAUACUUUGCACAGUGGACAAAUGGAGAGCCCAGUUCCCCUCUCUUGUUGCCCUGAUGAAAAGAAGCAAAUCUUCCAUCAUGUCAAGGUAUGUGCUCCAAAAUGCAAAUGUGUGGUUACAGUUGUUUUUCACCACAAAUUCUUCAUAACCUUGCAGUAACUGCUGAAAUGUGUCUGAUGUUAGCAUGCCCUUGAACUCUUCAGAGGGAAAACACUCCUGCAGAUCUGUUGCCACUUGUAAAGCAGCUGCAUUUUGUUCUUGUGUGAGUGUGUCCAAGUUUGCCCACCACCGCAGUUUCUGGAGUGCUUCCAUCAGGAGUUUGUGAGCCCGUAUGCUCCUGUUGUAGUGAUGGCCGGAGAUCACUCCAUCGAUUGAGCUCAAUCAAGAUGUCCUCAAAGCCUGCAUCACCAUACAACUUUCCUAUGCAUGACAGAUACGCCAUUGCUGUGUGGAACUCUCCCAUCCUCACUACGAUUCUCUCAGACUGUCAGCAAUGGCAAUGGAGCGGCUCAGGAUGGUGUGGACAGUGUUGAGAUCAGUCGGACUGGCGUCAAUCACUGGGAGGUAGCCAAUAUGUGUAGAUGGUGGUAGUACUGUGUCUUCCUUCAACAUUAUAUUAUACCCUGUCCAUCCAGGAAGGAUUUUGUGCUGGGCCUCAGGUACUUUCAGUAAAAAGAAUGCAGCAUCAAUUCCUCUACCGGUAGUUUGGGCAUAUCUGUAUUGGUCCUGAUGGAGAUCAAUCUUCAAUGCAAAGUUCUGUGGACCAGACCGCUUUCCUCUUGUGUAUGUUGAAAGAUUCAGUGGAGGAGGAUGAACCGACCGCUCUCGUGUUCUCUGUCUGGGUAAUGUGUCUGAUGAGCAAGGGCAGUAUCAUGCUCAAGGACCUGGGA